GCCAUUACGGCUCGCCUUUAGGUGUCCUCCUCGAGAUAGCAUCAUUUAAAGAACGAGGGACAGCACGUAGUAAAAAAAACUGGAGGAGCCUGCCGAAGAUGAGGCCAUUAUAGCUCGUCUUUAGGUGCCCUCCUCAAGAUAACGUCAUUUAAAGAGCGAUGGUCUGCACAACGUAAACAAAAAACAGAAUAAAAUCCGAGGAACCUGCCGUAGAUGAGCCCAUUACAGCUCGCCUAUAGGUGUCCUCCUCGGGAUAGCGUCAUUUAAAGAACGAGGGUCAGCACGACGUAAAAAAAAUGAAGGAGCCUGCUGAAGAUGAGGGCAUUACGGAUCGCCUUUAGGUGUCCUCCUCGGGAUAGCGUCAUUUUAAGAAAGAGGGUCAGCACGUUGUAAAAAAAAAUCGGAAAAAAAACCGGAGGAGCCUAUCGAAGAUGAUGCCAAUACGGCUCGCCUUUCGAUGUCAUCCUCAGGAUAGUGUCAUUUAAAGAACGAGGGGCAGCAUGACGUAAAAAAAUGAAAAAAAAACCG